AGAGUUUGAUCCUGGCUCAGGACGAACGCUGGCGGUGUGCUUAACACAUGCAAGUCGAACGGUAAGGCCCUUUCGGGGGUACACGAGUGGCGAACGGGUGAGUAACACGUGAGUAACCUGCCCUCAUCUCUGGGAUAACAGUCGGAAACGGUUGCUAAUACUGGAUAUGAGCCUGCAAGGCAUCUUGUGGGUUGGAAAGAUUUUUUGGUUGGGGAUGGACUCGCGGCCUAUCAGCUUGUUGGUGAGGUAGUGGCUCACCAAGGCUUCGACGGGUAGCCGGCCUGAGAGGGCGACCGGCCACAUUGGGACUGAGAUACGGCCCAAACUCCUACGGGAGGCAGCAGUGGGGAAUAUUGCACAAUGGACGGAAGUCUGAUGCAGCAACGCCGCGUGCGGGAUGACGGCCUUCGGGUUGUAAACCGCUUUCAAUUGUGACGAAGCUUUUUGUGACGGUAGCAGUAGAAGAAGCACCGGCUAACUACGUGCCAGCAGCCGCGGUGAUACGUAGGGUGCGAGCGUUGUCCGGAUUUAUUGGGCGUAAAGAGCUUGUAGGUGGUUUGUCGCGUCGGGAGUGAAAACUCAGGGCUUAACUCUGAGCUUGCUUUCGAUACGGGCUGACUUGAGGGAGGUAGGGGAGAAUGGAAUUCCUGGUGGAGCGGUGGAAUGCGCAGAUAUCAGGAGGAACACCGGUGGCGAAGGCGGUUCUCUGGACCUUUCCUGACGCUGAGAAGCGAAAGCGUGGGGAGCGAACAGGCUUAGAUACCCUGGUAGUCCACGCUGUAAACGGUGGGUACUAGGUGUGGGGGACAUUCCACGUUCUCCGUGCCGUAGCUAACGCAUUAAGUACCCCGCCUGGGGAGUACGGCCGCAAGGCUAAAACUCAAAGGAAUUGACGGGGCCCCGCACAAGCGGCGGAGCAUGCGGAUUAAUUCGAUGCAACGCGAAGAACCUUACCAAGGCUUGACAUGUGCCGGUCUGCUCCGGAGACGGGGUUUCCUCCCUUGUGGGGGCUGGUUCACAGGUGGUGCAUGGUUGUCGUCAGCUCGUGUCGUGAGAUGUUGGGUUAAGUCC
rnacentral:rRNA from 1 species